rnacentral:rRNA from 1 species
AUUGAACGCUGGCGGCAGGCUUAACACAUGCAAGUCGAGCGAGCGGCGGACGGGUGAGUAAUGUCUGGGAAACUGCCUGAUGGAGGGGGAUAACUACUGGAAACGGUAGCUAAUACCGCAUACCAUCGGAUGUGCCCAGAUGGGAUUAGCUAGUAGGAGGGGUAAAGGCUAACCUAGGCGAAUCUCCCUAGCUGGUCUGAGAGGAUGACCAGCCACACUGGAACGGAGACACGGUCCAGACUCCUACGGGAGGCAGCAGGGGGGAAGAUUGCACAAUGGGCGCAAGCCUGAUGAAGCUAUGCCGCGUGUAUGAAGAAGGACUUAGGGUUGUAAAGUACGUUCAGCGGGGAGGCGUUACCCGCAGAAGAAGCACCGGCUAACUCCGUGCCAGCAGCCGCGGUAAUUC